UCCACAGUAGUCUGAAAUGCAAGUGCUUC
rnacentral:piRNA from 1 species